UACGAAGGGGGCUAGCGUUGUUCGGGAUCACUGGGCGUAAAGGGCGCGUAGGCGGCCGAUCAAGUCGGGGGUGAAAGCCUGUGGCUUAACCACAGAAUGGCCUUCGAUACUGUUUGGCUUGAGACCGGAAGAGGUUAGUGGAACUGCGAGUGUAGAGGUGAAAUUCGUAGAUAUUCGCAAGAACACCAGUGGCGAAGGCGGCUGACUGGUCCGGUUCUGACGCUGAGGCGCGAAAGCGUGGGGAGCAAACAGG
rnacentral:rRNA from 1 species